rnacentral:rRNA from 1 species
UAAUACGGAGGGUGCGAGCGUUGUUCGGAAUCACUGGGCGUAAAGCGCGUGUAGGCGGCUCUAUAAGUCUGGUGUGAAAGCCCGGGGCUCACCCCCGGAAGUGCACUGGAUACUGUAGAGCUCGAGUCCCGGAGAGGAAAGUGGAAUUCCUGGUGUAGCGGUGAAAUGCGUAGAUAUCAGGAGGAACACCGGUGGCGAAGGCGGCUUUCUGGACGGUGACUGACGCUGAGACGCGAAAGCGUGGGGAGCAAACAGGAUUAGAUACCCUGGUAGUCCACGCUGUAAACGAUGAGUACUAGGUGUCGCGGGUAUUGACCCCUGCGGUGCCGUAGCUAACGCAUUAAGUACUCCGCCUGGGGACUACGGCCGCAAGGUUA